GCCAACGUUCAUACCACGCUUAAAUUACCAGUUCUCGUCCGAUCACUGAAGUCAAGCAGCGUUGGGCAUGGUUAGUACUUGGAUGGGUGACCGCUUGGGAACACCGUGUAACGUUGGCC
rfam:Acromyrmex echinatior unplaced genomic scaffold scaffold288, whole genome shotgun sequence.